AUUCAACUGACAAGUUCCAAGUAGGACGAAACGAGCGUUCUGGAU
rnacentral:hammerhead_ribozyme from 1 species